GUACACAGUGCGCAUAUACACUCACCCAAUUAUGCUAAUGCAAAUGUUGUAAUGCCGUUUUUCUAAAUAAAAGGUAGAGUGAAGUUUCAAGUAAAGAAGAACCACCAUCUCAAAUAUCCGUUUAAAACAUGGCAACCAGUUGUUUAGGAGCCCAAAGUUUCGGACAAGUUAUCUGACUCACUACAGAUUACAGAUAAGAAUCAGUUCAUUAUACACACUAAUUUUCCAGUUUGUUAGGUAACAUCUGACCCAUAUAUACAGUUGUACCUAUUUUUUCAAGUAGAUGUUAGCAUUUUUUUUCUAAUGCUCUAUAUUUCACUCAUUUUUGAGACAAGGGACAAAAUAUGUUCUACAUAUAAAAGUCUUCUCUAUGUUAAGUACAGUUUGCCUGGUGCAGAUAAAUGUAAUCAGAGUAAUUGAUCUGAUUUAAACACAGGCUACCAACCUACAGGUUCUUGGUAUUCGCAUAGAAUUGCUACGGGGUGUCACAAAUGAACGCUUACACUUGUAUUACCAAGCUUGUAUUUAUUUCAGUUAACCACUGGAGAUCUACAGCUACAAAGAGAAAGGCCAAACGGGAGGUAUUUUGAUAAAGAAAUCAUAAAAUGAAAUUGUUUUUACUGCAUUUAAUGGGGUUGAUGCAAAUAAAGUUAUGAAGAAAAAAAUGUUUUUUAGAAAAACUGGUUCUCUAACAUGUUUUGUUAGCUGAGACCUAUUUAUCCAUUCUAAUGAAUAUAGUAUUAAAGCAAUUAAAACAUAAACAUGUGUCCCUUAUCUCAGGAAACAGUGAUUUUAUAUUUUGCACUGAAGCUACUAUAAUGUUAGAAACAUUUCACCAAAUAUUUCAAAAUGCUUUCUGAGUUUUAAUUCACACAGAACAUUUCAUUUAAUGAAUCUGAUCAUCACAGUGAAAAUAAUCAGGAAUUAUAUCAGGUAUCCAAACCCAGUGUCUGAAAGGUUAGUGUAAGGACACAUGUGUUCACACAUUUUUGUAUCAUUCACUACAGAGCUUGAAACCACUUGUUAAACUGGUUCUCUGUCACCUCAGAUGUUUUCUCUUUCACUUUACUGGGUUUGACUCACCUAUAAACACUACAAUAUCUGUAUGACCUGUAUCAUCUGCUCUGCACUGUUUCUUCACUUCUUGUUCUCUUCUGGCAGAUAUUUCAAUAAAAAGCUAACUGAGGAAAUGGACCUCAGUUGUUCCUCAGUGAAAGUUCUGCUGUUCCUCAUGAAUGGUUUUCACCAGCAGGAUUUGUAUCCAGAAUGACAGAAUUAUACACCCAAAGUGUAACAACAGACCUACAACAACAGUCUUGUUUCAGCCAUCAGCUCAAAUCUGAUUAAAACAACAGAUGUUUUUUUUUUCUUUUAGUUGUGGGCAGAGGAAUUUGUUUUAAUCAGUUACCCAUCAACCUGGAAUAAACACUCAAAACGCAACAAUAGAAACAAGACUAAAUCUUUCUGUUAUUACUAACACAUCUUGACUAAAGGUUUUGGUUUUGCAUCCAGGUUGGUAGGUAUCUGAUUAAAACUGCCAAGAAAUUUAACAACAGACCUACUGCAACAUGGUCUUGUUUCUGCCAUCAGAAACACAAAGAACAAAUCUUGACCAAAAUUACAGUUGACCAACUACAGUUUUGCUUUUCUAGGAUUUAUACCCAAGUUAAUGGAUGACAAAAA